GACGAACGCUGGCGGCGUGCCUAAUACAUGCAAGUCGAACGCAUUUUCUUUCACCGUAGCUUGCUACACCGAAAGAAAAUGAGUGGCGAACGGGUGAGUAACACGUGGGCAACCUGCCCAUCGGCGGGGGAUAACACUUGGAAACAGGUGCUAAUACCGCAUAAUUCCAUUUACCGCAUGGUAGAGGGAUGAAAGGCGCUUUUGCGUCACUGAUGGAUGGACCCGCGGUGCAUUAGCUAGUUGGUGGGGUAACGGCCUACCAAGGCUGCGAUGCAUAGCCGACCUGAGAGGGUGAUCGGCCACACUGGGACUGAGACACGGCCCAGACUCCUACGGGAGGCAGCAGUAGGGAAUCUUCGGCAAUGGACGCAAGUCUGACCGAGCAACGCCGCGUGAGUGAAGAAGGUUUUCGGAUCGUAAAACUCUGUUGUUAGAGAAGAACAAGGAUGAGAGUGGAAAGUUCAUCCCUUGACGGUAUCUAACCAGAAAGCCACGGCUAACUACGUG
rnacentral:rRNA from 1 species